CAUAUCUCUUCUUUUCUGGAGGAUCCCAACUGUAAACUGGAGAAGCUAGACCUGGGAUACUGCAGUAUUACAGAGGAAGGCUUCAGAGCUCUUGCAUCAGCACUGAUAUCAAACCCCUCACACAUGAGAGAGAUGCAGCUGAGUGGGAAUGAAGCAGGAGACUCUGGAGUGAAGCAUCUUUCUUCUCUUCUGGAAGAUCCCAACUGUAAACUGGAGACACUAGACCUGGGAGCCUGCAGUAUUACAGAUAAAGGCUUCAGAGCUCUUGCAUCAGUACUGAGAUCAAACCCUUCACACAUGAGAGAGCUGCAGUUGAGUAGGAAUAUGGCAGGAGACUCAGGAGUGAAGCAUCUUUCCUCUCUUCUGGAGGAUCCCAGCUGUAAACUGGAGAAACUAAAGUGAGUAUCACAAGACCAAAUACUGGCUUGCUAUCAAUUCAUUUGAUAUUGACAGUGAACUGUCCUGCUUUUCACAUAUAAAGGGUCAAUAUUAAUUGAGCAGUAAACACUUCUUAUCAUUCUC